CAUCGUGUAAAUCUUCCAAAGAUCUAUUACAUAUAAUUAAAUCAUACCAAAAUCACAAUAUUUUGGCAUGAUUUUCUCUUAUUUUCAUUCUUUCUCAUUCUUAUCCUAUUUUUAACAACAAAAAUAAAUUAAAAAAAAUAUUUACUAAAAAAAUAACAUAUUAUCUUACCUCCGGCCAAAGAUCAGCCUCUCCUCGAACCACUCCUACAAUUUGACGGAAUUUGUUCCUUUUUUUCUAAUUUUUCGGAGGUCUCAACGAAAUCGUUGAGACCUUCAUAUGCUUCGGGAGUUCUCUGAGACUUCUCAGAGAACUCUAACACCUCUCAAUCAUUUAAAAGCUCUCCGAUCCCACCCCUCCCCCCUCCCCACUUUUUGCAUGUGGGGAUAUCGGCACGGUUCGGUUCACGCCGAACCGGUACCGAACCGAUCCAUACCGUCCGAUUUUGGGCGGUAUGGACAUGAAUCGGACCGAACCGAGCGGUUCGGUGCGGUUCGGAGAGUCUUUCGAAAAAAAAAUCCGAACCGGAUCGGUA
rnacentral:lncRNA from 1 species